CAGGAUCUGGAUCUCCUGGGCUGGGUUUGGAUCAGGGUCUGGAAAGAGGCAGUGGCCGGCACCCAUCCCGUCGCUGUCGCGGAUCCCGCUCCGCUGGCCCAGGAAGGCUGUCUCUACCAGAGCCCCGAUUAGGAGAGAGAUGCUAGGGAGUCCAUGGUGGAGUGGCCACAUCUGGAAAACCACCAUGCUGCAUGACCUCCAGACAGAAGAUGGAAAGACAAGUAUAUCCAUCCGUACUUCAGAGAGCUGAACUUACCCUCCUGUCAGCCCACUCCCCUGACAACAAGUGUGCUCCUAACAGAAUGGCAUCAAUGUGUUCAGGAGGGCAGAGAGAGCCCUCUAGGGUUCAUCACCAUUUAAACGACAUACUUCUCAUUGCUGCUACGUUGGGGGUGAAAUUUUGGACACUCCAAAUUUAGAAAACUAAUUCAAACCAUGAAAUUUGCAAUCUCCUUUUGUUGUUGUUGUUACUGUUGUUGUAUUUAUGAUAUGGAUCAAAGGGGACUUCUGUCUUCUUAUAUCUAACAAAUAAAGCACAGAUGUCUUAGGAACUAGUUGGGUGAUUUUUCUUUGAGGAACUAUCUACACAUACAUACACACAGACAGACAUACACACACAGACAUACACACACACACACACACACACACACACACACACACACACACACACAUACACACACCCAUACACACACUCAGAGAGAGGGGGGGUUGGGACAGGUGUUCAAUUGUGUGGCAAGGACAAUAAACAUCCCUAAAAGGAGACAGUUGGGACAUGAGAAAAGUCUCUAACCAAGGGAUUUAAGAGCUGGGGCAAAAGGCUGUGGCAAGGCAACAUUUGUAAAGAAAGGCUAGUUGCAAAGGGAAAGGUGGUCUGGAAGCCAUGAGGACAAAUUGCAGCCAUUUAUUCCCCUUCUCUCUCUGUUGCUUUAAUAAUUGGUUAUCUACAGGAGGGACUUGUACACACAGCCUUGUAGUGUCAUACCUGCCUGGCUUCAGACUUGAAGGCUUAGACAUCAGAGGGACAGUAGAUGUGGCUUCCACUUAGAAAGUGAGCCAGCAGUGGCCAGUAAUGUCCUCAGCAGGGGUGGUCCAAAGACAUCACAGACGUUGCUCCAGGCUACUGUGGGAUUUAAAUUGCUACUGUACAUCGCAAAUCACGGUGAUUUCAACCUGUAUUGUCUACCAAAAUGACAUAAUGACAUAGCUCCAUACCUUCGUCACAAGUCCACAAGGACAUUUUUUCUUUCCCACACAAAGAGCAGAAGUCUAUAGAUAGUGGGACAUUGGCUUAAAUGUGACCACAUUAUUAUCAUUUUGAGAGGACAGAUCCUAUAAAUAAAGUUGCCUAUUUACAUUAGUAAACCAAUGCUCUUGACUUUCCUACGUGGCAAAAGGAGUAUUUCCUGAUGCAUAUCCAAGUGCCUAGCAAUUUACGAGACACUUGUGUGUCCAUUAUGCCACUUGAUUUGAUCACAGCUCUGUCAGGUCAGUUUGUUCGGAGUUGGACAUGAGAAAACUGUAGCUCAGAGGUUGAAAUGACUAUCAAGUGGCCACUCAGCUCUUGAUAAUUGGAUCAUAUUUGUUGGAGUUCUGCAUGUUCCAUUGGCAUCUUUCAUUGCUAUUCCUCUCAUCUCUCAGCACCAGUGCCCAACAGUGUUGUUGGGACUCAUCUUUGGUUAUGCCGUGUCUCGGUUCCUGAAUGUGUCUACAGUUUUUAGACAUCAUCAUUUUCAAGGUGCCUUUCCACUAAAACAGCAGGCUUCCAGUAACCUGAGUGUUAUUGCUCCUUCUCCUCCCCUGUAGUGUUUUUUUUUUAAAGCUUCCAUCAAAUGCAAGGUAAAGAGGGACAUGUCUUUUUACAAAACUAUAACUGAGAGUGUUGAGACACUGAGGUCUAUAUACCCUCAACUGCGGCAUUUUCGACAAAUUCCCAGUCAGCACUUCUAGGACCCAUUCUUGGAUAUUUAAAAGUUGAAUUUUCUAGCUUCAUACUUGUCAAUAUGCAGCUGAACUUACUUACUUGUCAUGACCCAGAUACUAAACACCCAAUGCAUCGUCUCCUGAGAGUUCAACAGCCAAGAGGCCAGUGAUUAGAUAACCUGUGAUCUCCAUUCAGUGCAGAGAACUCUAGGGCAGAUAUAGUUGAGGUGCCAGGUCAGUCCUGUCUUUUUGUAGCUAGUGACAGAAAUAUGGACUUAAGGGAACUGGAGCCAGAGUUAGAGAGCAAGCUUGCCCAGAUGUCAUUGCAUGGAGUAUGUAUCAGGGAAUACUAGAUGGCUAGGGUCAAAAGGCUAAAUGUAUAGCUUUUCUGAUGAGCCAUCAAGGAAUAUGUCCUGUUUGGAGUCAGCCAAACCUAUCUAUAACUAGUCUUCCAAGGCCCAGUACAGGUAUUUAGUGUCGGGUGGUCCUUUGGCUUAGUUCAGUGACCUGCCGCAUCCAUGAGUUUCCAACUCCUUAUUUUGUUACAGUGUUUGGGGAAACAUUUAGGAGACUCAAAGGUUAGACUUCCAAUAGUAAGAAGAAAGAGUAUUAACACAAUCAAAUGACUGAGUGAGUGCUUAACAUGUUGUUGACAUUACCCCCUCACCUGACUGAACAAGUUACUUUCCUGACACUGUUCAUCUCGCUGAGAUGGAGACUAAGCAUGGCUAGGUAACUUGCAUAGCUAUAGAGGAGAUGCUGGCUCUGUAUGGCACUAAAGCCAAGCUUGAAGCCUUCACCCUUGCUGCAGGGCAUUAAGCCUUGCCAUGUGUUUCCAGGCUCUUCCAUUGUUUCCUUCUAUGUACAGCUGGAAUCUUGUGACAGAGACAUAGUUAACAUGCUGAUUUGUCUGACAGAUUCCUAGAAAUGCACUCUGGGAUGAGCCAACCCCAUUGGCCCUUUGCAUUUCUGGCUUCUUGCUGCUUUCUUCUCUCCUUUAUCAGUUUCCUGUUAGACUCAAACACCAUGGGAGAUACCUUAAUGGAUUCCUGAUAUUUUAAUGACAUUUUCAUGUCCUGGGUAUGUUUCUUUCUCAUCUCAGGGUUCAGGGUUGGAGAGAGGGGAGUAUAGAAACUAUCCUGGUUGUGCACCCCCUUCCACCCACAGUUUGGAAAGUGAGCUUUAUGGAGAUAGGGAACUUCUGCUUUCACAUUGUUGUAGAGACCUUAGUUACGACAGUUACACACAGUUACAGAGAACCAGGGUCCAGCUCCAUAUAGUAACACUUCAUUAUAGGUAAGACCAUGUGAAAAUGAGAUUAUUAAUGGGUUCUCUAUAACAGGGGAUGUUUAAAGAGGGCCUAGACAUCUACUUGGCAAGGAUUUUAUAGGAAGAUUUGAAUAUUGGGGGGAAAAAGAGUUUGAAUCAAAAUGACAUUUAAGGGUCUUUCCGGUCUGGAGAGUCUGUCUUGAAUUCACUUAGAAACUUUAUAUUGGGAAUAAAGGUUCCCCCUUGUUACAAUUAAUACCAAGUAGAGAUGCCGCCUCCUCCCUCCCCGCUGUGCUUCCCCCUUCGGAACAACUACUCAAUUUAAGAAGGGGACUUGGGAUGAGGAAGGAUGUGGCUCCUUCCCACUUGGCAGCACUGCCUUUCAGAAUAGAGGAUUGUGUCUGGGCCUGGCACCGUUCCGUCAGGCCCUCUGACCAGCCCAGUCCUGUCUGUGACCAGAGCACGUGGGAAGUGCACAUCUGUGUAGGAAAGCCACCCACUGGCUGCCAGCUCUGGACUCGUUCCUUCUUUCCUUUUUAACGUCCUAUUGAAUGCAGCCUUGCCCAGGGCAAAGCUCUUGAAGGAAUGGCGACACACCCAGACACAAGUUCCAAUCUGACCAGACAAGCACCUCCUGAAAAAUAUCCCCUUUUGCAGCUGGCAAGAGAUGAAAACGUGCCUUUCAGAGAGGUUUCUUCUUCUUCUUGCCAUUUCAAAGACAAGCUGCUAGCAGGCCGGGAUAUCAAGGAUGUAGCCGUCACCACUGCCCAGUUUUCUUAUAUUCUUUUCAGUUGCUUUAUUACCAAUUCCAAAGCUUUGCUGUUCAAAAAUGAUAAUCCCUUAAUUCCAGAAUUCAGGCAGUUGAUUGGCUCUUGAUGGAAGGAAUAUUUUCCCAAUAAUUGGAUGGACAGGGCAUCUGAGAUAUAUAAGGUGAUCUGGUCCCAAGUACUUACAGACACUUUGGAACCUGCUUCAACUUCAUCACGCAAGAUGUGCUAUCUUCUCAGGAUGUUUUGUCAAGGCUGUCAAAUGAGGAUAUCUCAAACUAUGAAUUUCUAUUCCUUAUCAGGGAGCUUCAGCAUGCUUACAUAUCUUCAGCUGGGUCAGUCCAACUGUUCCCUGGGAAAUAAAGAUGUUACAAACUUGCUAGCUGCGGGAACUCCACCAGAAUCUGUUCAGAGCUGCCUGUAAGAAGUUUGGCCAAGAUUCCCCACAUGCCCCAUAAAUCUUAGUUGCCUGAUGGGUGAGAAAGGCAGCUUCAGCUUCUUCAGCAGCUUGCUUAUUGCUCCUGGGCCCUGGAAGCUGUCUUUUUUUUUUUUUUGAUACAGGACCCUUGCUUGUUUAGAAAUGAAUCUUUCUUGGCAUCUAAAUGGCAAGUUAUUUUUAGGGGACAUUUAACAGAGUUUGGAGGCAGCAUGGUUCCAUCAUCUGAGAAAGGUCUGAACUGAGAAUCAAAGACAUCUCAAAUUUCUACUCAUAAGUUAUCAGAGUCCUGAAAGGCCCCUCACUUGUCCAGUCUGCUGUGUUCCAACAGUUUUCCCAAUGACAUUAUUGACUUCUGAGGUCCUUACUGAUUUUUCUAGGGGCUAUCUCGAUAGAUAAGAAGGAUGAAAGAAUUAAACAAAAUAAUGGCAAAUUACAGCAAUACAAGCUUGGGAACACAAGGGCAGUGUUCUAAGUCAUUCUCAGAAAGCCUUUGUUCUAACAAGGGAACCUGUAAGGACAUCCAGUCUGUGUUGCUUAUCACGUGGAUAUCCCUAUUUGCUUCUCUCUAUUUGCUGAGAGCUGCUUAGAAACAGGACCAAGAGCCUUCAGGAAGCUUAAAAGAUCGUUAUGUUCAAUUCAGUCUUUUUAAAAACAACCAUGAGGUCCUUGUCAAGUGUUUCCCAGAGCCAUGUUCUUACGUUUCCUGCCCCCUUAGCUCUGUACAUUCAUAUACAUUGCUGCAAGUUUACUGUGAUGCCCAUAGUAUAGGGAAAGGGUGCAGCUCUUUUUUGAGAGUUGACUGACUCUGAAUAAUGAAAUUUGACUGCCAGAAGAACUUGCUAGCAAGAUGUGCUUAUCACAUAUAUAGAGAGCUUUGUUUCCCCAUCAUAAAUGUUAUGGAUGUAUUUCCCUCCUUUGUGCACUGUGAGUACAGAAGUCCCAUCCUCUCUCUCUCUCUCUCUCUCUCUCUCUCUCUCUCUC